CUCACUGGGCACGUACCUUACCCAUAAACAUAACCGAGGUUUGGGGAGGGAUCAGUCUUUUCCACUGGACUGCUGGUCCAACCCUGAUUGACAAGGGACCGUUUCCGCCACAAGCCCCGCUGUUUCACCCUCAAAAAAAUCAGCGGGGACGUCCCACCAAACCAGCCAUGGCCUCCUCCAAAGCGUCUUGCAAAGCUAAAUUAAAGAGGUCUAAUCCAACCUCUGUGAGAUGCAACCCAUCACUCCUGAAAAACAUUGCUCCGCUUAUUGAGCUUGACCCUGCAGCGCUUUAUCGCUCGCUGAUCCCUGGUGCAGCGACAAUAGUUACAGGACACCACCUCCAACCAGAUCAGGCAGAUGUCAGGAAAAAGUAACAGCACCUAUGCCAAGUCCCUCCUGAUCAUGUCCCCCAGUUCCAAUACCGGGGAAUUGCCUAAAAGUUGCCCCCAAGGUGGGUUACCAAGAUGUCCGGCACUCCUAUCAAACAGGACAAUUAUACUAGUUUCGGCAGUAGAUGAACCCACC